AUGUACCACGCGUGCACUCCGCCGUCCGCACCCACCUGACGACCGCUCGCUACGUUCUGUUAGCC
rnacentral:sRNA from 1 species